CUGCCCCUCCAACAGCACCAGCAGCUCCAAGUGCACAAAGAACUGGCCAUACUGCAUCUUCUGCCCCUCCAACAGCUCCAAGUGCACAAACAACUGGCCAUACUGCAUCCCCUUCAUUGGUUGUGAAGUCAAGAACUCCAAGAGCUCCUCAAUUUAUGAGAUCUGGAUGUAGUGCACCUCCACCAGUUUCCUCUCAAGAGUCAAUGGUUGUGAAUACAAAUGCAGCUCAACCAUCAAGGGUAAAAUGUAGUUUUCUUGAUUUGUAGAUAGUGAGUUUACUUGAACUUAACUUACUUUCUAUUCAUUCUAGGUUUACCAGGGGAGAAGAAAUGCAGCUCUGCUUGGACAUGAAAAGGAGGCCUCAUCAACUGUAGAAGCUGGUGCUUGUUCAACCAAUCCCAAAAGAAAAAGGAAGGUCCAGAUUUCUGAAGUGCAAAACAUCAAAGAUAGGUCCAAGAAGAAGAAGAUGUGGAAGAUUUAGAAAGGAAGUGAUGAUGAUAAUCCAGUUUUUGUUAUUGCUUAUUAUGAAGCCUUUUUGAAAAAAACAAUGUUUUUGUAA
rnacentral:lncRNA from 1 species